rnacentral:rRNA from 1 species
GGGCCCGCACAAGCGGUGGAGUAUGUGGUUUAAUUCGAUGCAACGCGAAAAACCUUACCAAGGUUUGAAAUCAUUCUAAAACUCUUUGAAAGAAGAGCCUCCUUCGGGAUAGAAUGACAGGUGGUGCAUGGCUGUCGUCAGCUCGUGUUGUGAAAAUGUCAAGUUAAGUCUUGUAACGAGCGCAACCCAUGUCUUUUGUUGCUGUUUACAGUGCUAAAAGAGACUGCCGCUCUACAGCGGAGGAAGGUGUGGAUGAUGUCAAGUCAGCAUGCCCCUUAUAUCUUGGGCUACACACGUACUACAAUGGUAGGGACAAUGAGUCGCAAACCUGCGAAGGCUAGCCAAUCUCAAAAACCCCUAUCUC